CAAAGUUGUGCCUGGCCUGCUGAAACUGUACUGGUCUAAGAAGGGAGCUCUUGGUGAGGAGAUGGAAGACCUCCUGGAUAAACUUGAUGAACAGACAUCCAACACUGUGUCCAACUUGCACUGAGAGGCCUGCCCAUUUUCCUCAAGAGAAGAUGCAACAGAGGUUUUCCUGAAGUGCUUAGACACUGACAUUUUGGAACCAGUGUUGAACGGUGCAUCAGUUGCCAUCCUCACCAUCCUACAAGAUGACGAUGCUGAUACGUCUGUGCGAGAACAUGCAGUUGGUUUGGAAGGGGACAUCGUGCUACAUAACAUUCCAGAUCUCUCUACUGCCCUGGCAUACCUCUUUGGCCUUCUGUAUGCCCUCAACAUUGAUUAUCCAAAGCAGAUGAGUUUUACCUUUGAAGCAAUUCAGGCCAUCUUAUUUUGGCCUGGUCGGACAAU
ensembl:lncRNA